AACGCGAAGAACCUUACCCAGGUUUGAAAUUCAGGAGACAAUACCAGAGAUGGUACUUCCCGCAAGGGCUGCUGAGUAGGUGCUGCAUGGCUGUCGUCAGCUCGUGCCGUGAGGUGUUGGGUUAAGUCCCGCAACGAGCGCAACCCUUAUCAUUAGUUGCCAACACGAAAGGUGGGGACUCUAAUGAGACUGCCUGGGUUAACCAGGAGGAAGGUGAGGAUGACGUCAAGUCCGCAUGGCCUUUAUGUCUGGGGCUACACACGUGCUACAAUGGUCGGUACAGAAGGCAGCUAAGCCGCAAGGUAGAGCAAAUCCGUAAAGCCGAUCUCAGUUCAGAUUGUGGUCUGCAACUCGACCACAUGAAGUUGGAAUUGCUAGUAAUGACGUAUCAGCAACGACGUCGUGAAUACGUUCCCGGGCCUUGUACACACCGGUAUCUC
rnacentral:rRNA from 1 species